CCGGAAUCCUUGGUGAAGGCUAUCCAGAAUUAGCUGUCUUGUGACGGCAGUAGAAGCUGCUGUGGGCUCGUCCUGUCGCCUGGAAGCAGACCACUCCCUUUCUAUCCUAAUAAAUAUGGCAGGAGGCCGGCUAGGACCGCUUUUAGGCUUCAGUGCUCCGACAUCAACAGGUGUAGAACAUCAGAGGAUUCCUUCAUCAGCCGCAGGAGCAACUACAAUCAUCAUCAUCAUCAUCAUCAUCCAAUGGAGACCAGCUCACUGCAGCAGGUGGAUUUGCAUCAACCUUGUGAAGAUGUAAUGCUUGGUCCUGGUGGGGCGUGGACUCCGAGCAGGCACACCUGGUUCCAAUUACUCAUCACUGCAAUACAAAAGCCUCAGACUCACCUCCACUCAUCGUUGGAUUGUUCCGUCUAUGCUGCGGUACUUCUGCUCUCGAGAUAUCCUGAAGUCUAUGCCUUUUGCCAAGUUUUAUUUUUGAUUCUGGACUUUUAUUCCUCUAGUACCCGAGCCUGCUCUGGAGCCACUCCCAGGAUCAAGCCAAGCCAAGAGGACACUUUUUGUUAAAUAAAUUCACGUCGACCCACACUUUGGGUGUUGUGUUUGUUUAUGGGUCCAACUUAACAACCCUAACAAUUAUUACUGUUUUCUUUUUGUUUUAUAUUCAUACAUCCGAAUGGAUGUUUUUUAUGUUCUUUAUUUUUUUUCUUCAAUGGCUACUCUAAAGUGCUAAAUAAAUGUAAUAUAUUGGCUGGCCA
rnacentral:lncRNA from 1 species